AUGCCAAAACAAUUAGGUUGGUGCAAAGUAAUUGAGGUUUUGCCAUCAAAAGUCAUGGAAAAAACUGCAAUUACUUUUGCACCAACCUAAUUGUUUUG
ensembl:miRNA